CACAGAACAGGUGGCCAUCAGCCCCUCCCUCAGAUUCUAAACACAGCCCAGCUUCCCAUCACCCCUGACGUGGGCAGCACCUGGAGGGACAGUGGGUAAGGACUGCUUCCCCUGGCUCUUCUGCCGACUUGGUCGUCCCUCCCCAGGCACUCCCUCGGCCCUCGGCCCUGGGCUCUGAUGUCCCUGGGCCCUAAUUGGGAGGGAGGCAGGGACAGAGAGCUCAGAAUCAAGUCCUCAGGCAAUCUGCUGGGGGCCCAGCUCUGGGUGUCCCAGCGGAGGGAGUGAAGGGAGGUGCCGGGGGAGGUGGAAGGAUGGGGAGACUGGGAACAUCCUCGAAGGUCUUCUAGCAGGAGUCUCCCUUCCCCACAAAGCUCAGGGACCGGGGAGGCUUUCUCUUUCUCGGCUUGUCUUCCCUCCCUCCCGCAGGACCCGGACUGGCAGGUGAGCCGUACAUACGUACAUACGGAUGGAACGAAUUGACGAUGCAAACCCCGGCCCGGGAAGGAGGGCCGGCGCUCAAUGAACUCCUCCUUGAACUCUUCCUCUCCCUUGAAGCCCCUCAGUUUGGUGACACAGAUUUUACUGUAAUUAAUAAUAAUGUCACCUUUCACCGUGAAAGUGAAAGUUGUGUCCGACUCUUUGGGACUCUACACAGUCCACGGAAUUCUCCAUAACUGGAACUCUCAGGCUGGGUGUCCUCCAACCACAGGAUCCAGAGGAGGAAAGCGAGGCUCAGAGGUCCCGAGAGUUGCAGAUCCAGAAUCUAACAUGAAGGCUGACCUCUGGGAGGACCGUGCUUACUGCUUCCCGUGUACGACUUCAUCAAACAUGAGAACCAGGAAACUGGGAGAUGGCGAAGGACAGGGAGCCUGGUGUGCUGCAGUUCAUGGGGUUGCAACGAGUCAGACACAACUUAGCCACUGAACAACAACAACAACAGAUCCCAUGUCAUAGACGAAAGGUCCAGAGGCGUCCAGUCACGUGCCCAGGUCCCACCGCUCCUUGGUGCCAGGAUCAACAACCAGACAUCUCAGCCAAAAGGUGGGAGCAACCCAAGUGACCGUAGAUGGUUGAAUGGAUAAACAAAACAUGAUCUAUCCAUACAAGAGACUCUUAGUCCACGGGGGACUCUUAAAGAGGAAGGAAGUUCUGACACGCAUGACGAUAAGGCUAACCUUGAAGACAUUAUGAUCAGUCACAAAAGGACACAAGCCAGUCACAAAAGGACAAAUAUUGCAGGAUUGCACUUCAUAGAGGGUAUUCAGAAUAGUCAAAUCCACGGGGACAGAAAGGAGCGUGGAGGUUGCCAGGACAGAAAGGGCUGGUGGGGAGGGAGAAUGCGC
ensembl:lncRNA